GACGAACGCUGGCGGCGUGCUUAACACAUGCAAGUCGAGCGAUGAAGCACCUUCGGGUGUGAAUUAGCGGCGAACGGGUGAGGAACACGUGAGAAAUCUGCCUUCAACUCUGGGAUGACUCCGUGAAAACGGGGCUAAUACCGGAUAUGAAACCUGCGGGCAUCAGCGGGUUUGGAAAGUUUUUCGGUUGAAGAUGAUCUCGCGGCCUAUCAGCUUGUUGGUGAGGUAAUGGCUCACCAAGGCGACGACGGGUAGCCGGCCUGAGAGGGCGACUGGGCACACUGGGACUGAGGCACGGCCCAGAGUCCUACGGGAGGCAGCAGUGGGGAAUAUUGGGCAAUGGAGGAAACUCUGACCCAGCGAGGCCGCGUGCGGGAUGAAGGCCUUCGGGUUGUAAACCGCUUUCAGCAGGGAAGAAGCGAAAGUGACGGUACCUGCAGAAGAAGCACCGGCUAACUAUGUGCCAGCCGCCGCCGUAA
rnacentral:rRNA from 1 species